GCUCCAGAAGUGGCUAAGCUAACCUGUAAGGGAGGCAGGUCCCCAAGGAGUGUCCGGUGACUGGGGUGAAGUCGUAACAAGGUAGCCGUAGGUGAACCUGCAGAAGGAUCA
rnacentral:rRNA from 1 species